rnacentral:lncRNA from 1 species
GCAUUUCUCUUUUGAUAAAUUUUUGUUUGUUGCUUGCUGAUCAUGUUAAUAUUAUUAAUGUUGGUCUUAUGUUGUUAUUUUUGUUUUUAAUAUUUGUUGUUAUUGUUAUAUUAAAAUUGGCCAGUGAAAAAAUCUCUCCGUCGAUUUUGGAGGCCUCCCCAUUUUAAAAGACAGAAAUUUUAGUUUAAGUGUAUAUCCAUUAUUUGUUAAAAUUGGCCGAUGAAGAAAUUAUUGACGAUUUUCAAGGCCUCCAUGUUAAUAAGACUGAUUUUUAUUUUGAAGUUUUUAUUUGAUUUAUUUAAUUUUAUUCAUAUUUAUUUAUUGCUAAUACUUUUACUAAGUGUCUUUACAGGUACCCGGAAAUGUUUCCCAUUGAAGUUAUUCGAAUGGAGUUCGAGUUAUAUCUUUUAUUUACUAUUGUGUAUGUUAUCAAUGUUAGUCAAACCUUAGGACAUUUUUGAUAUUAUUAUUUUGUUUUAUUACUUGUGUAUAUCGUAUAUUUGUUUUACUUCUAUAUUGUUUUUAUUUCCUCCUCAAUUUGAAAAAAAUGAAUUUAGUCGGGAC